AUUGAACGCUGGCGGCAGGCCUAACACAUGCAAGUCGAACGGUAACAGGAAGAAGCUUGCUUCUUUGCUGACGAGUGGCGUACGGGUGAGUAAUGUCUGGGAAACUGCCUGAUGGAGGGGGAUAACUACUGGAAACGGUAGCUAAUACCGCAUAACGUCGCAAGACCAAAGAGGGGGACCUUCGGGCCUUUUGCCAUCGGAUGUGCCCAGAUGGGAUUAGCUAGUAGGUGGGGUAACGGCUCACCUAGGCGACGAUCCCUAGCUGGUCUGAGAGGAUGACCAGCCACACUGGAACUGAGACACGGUCCAGACUCCUACGGGAGGCAGCAGUGGGGAAUAUUGCACAAUGGGCGCAAGCCUGAUGCAGCCAUGCCGCGUGUAUGAAGAAGGCCUUCGGGUUGUAAAGUACUUUCAGCGGGGAGGAAGGGAGUAAAGUUAAUACCUUUGCUCAUUGACGUUACCCGCAGAAGAAGCACCGGCUAACUCCGUG
rnacentral:rRNA from 1 species